rnacentral:misc_RNA from 1 species
GCAAUUUCGAUUCUCAUCUCUGUCACUAAGUCUUUCUUUGGUGUAUGAAAGAAGACGUUGAAGGAAAAGGAAAAGAGGAAAAUUUCCAAUCAAUCGCGUAUAGCGUGGUCAUCCCAGCAGAGAAGCAUGGAGAUGCAACGUCCAAAGAUGUAGAAGCGGGUCUUCUGCUGUUUUACCAUUAGAAAGCACUUCCUUCGAAGACUGUUUUUCCUGUGAGCUUUUCUCUUGCCCGCGGCGGCGUGCGGCGGUGGAAGGUGGUAGGAAAUUGCCAUGGUGGGUUGGCGGACAAUGGAAGGAAAACUGUAAACUAAAGCAGUUGGAGGUUGGAGCUG